rnacentral:rRNA from 1 species
CGGGGGCAGCAGUGGGGAAUAUUGCACAAUGGGCGAAAGCCUGAUGCAGCGACGCCGCGUGAGGGAUGACGGCCUUCGGGUUGUAAACCUCUUUCAGUAGGGAAGAAGCCCUCUUUGGGGGUGACGGUACUUGCAGAAGAAGCGCCGGCUAACUACGUGCCAGCAGCCGCGGUAAUACGUAGGGCGCAAGCGUUAUCCGGAAUUAUUGGGCGUAAAGAGCUCGUAGGCGGUUUGUCGCGUCUGCUGUGAAAGACCGGGGCUCAACUCCGGUUCUGCAGUGGGUACGGGCAGACUAGAGUGCAGUAGGGGAGACUGGAAUUCCUGGUGUAGCGGUGAAAUGCGCAGAUAUCAGGAGGAACACCGAUGGCGAAGGCAGGUCUCUGGGCUGUAACUGACGCUGAGGAGCGAAAGCAUGGGGAGCGAACAGGAUUAGAUACCCUGGUAGUCCAUGCCGUAAACGUUGGGCACUAGGUGUGGGGGACAUUCCACGUUUUCCGCGCCGUAGCUAACGCAUUAAGUGCCCCGCCUGGGGAGUACGGCCGCAAGGCUAAAACUCAAAGGAAUUGACGGGGGCCCGCACAAGCGGCGGAGCAUGCGGAUUAAUUCGAUGCAACGCGAAGAACCUUACCAAGGCUUGACAUGGACCGGAAAGACCCUGAAACCAGGUGCCCCCG